CCUACGGGAGGCAGCAGUGAGGAAUAUUGGUCAAUGGGCGCUAGCCUGAACCAGCCAAGUAGCGUGAAGGAUGACUGCCCUAUGGGUUGUAAACUUCUUUUAUAGGGGAGUAAAGUGCAGUAUGUAUACUGCUUUGCCUGUACCUAAUGAAUAAGGAUCGGCUAACUCCGUGCCAGCAGCCGCGGUAAUACGGAGGAUCCGAGCGUUUGCCGGAUUUAUUGGGGUUAAAGGGAGCGUAGGGGGGGUGCUAAGUCAGUUGUGAAAGUUGGCGGCUCAACCGUGAAAUUGCAGUGGAUACUGGCAUCCUGGAGUACAGUAGAGGUGGGGGGAAUUCGUGGUGUAGCGGUGA
rnacentral:rRNA from 1 species